rnacentral:lncRNA from 1 species
GAGGAGAAGCACCAGGAGCCCUGAGCGGAGAGUGUUUCAGAGGUGCCUGUAAACGCCCAGGGGCGCCAGGAGACAGCAGCAACUGCUCAGCGUGGGACUGCCGGGCGCACCGGAAGGGAAGCAACUGGUGCAGUCUGGCCUCCAGUACCUGGCUGGCCCGGGCUGGGGCUCCAAGCUUUCCAGCCAAACUUACGCCAAACUUACGUGAAGCAAAGUAGAUGCAGUUUGACAAAGGACGGCGUUUU